AAAGAGAGCAGGUUGGAGAGCGGUUAUAGCGAGAGCUACUAAACAGAGAGCGCUAUUGCUCAGAAAGAUUAAAGAGCGAUUGAGAAAGAACAGUUGUUUGAGUUUGGAUAAUAGGGAGAGAGUGAUAGAUACAGCAAAGACUACAGGAUAAGAGCGGGCCAAACUCAGCGUGAGCAUACUGACAGAAAGUAACACACAAACAACAGCACAAACGCACAGAAUUUAUAUCAAAAAUUAAGUUUAUAUGAAAACAAUAGGCAUGCACUCGCGUUAAAGAACAGAUUUUUUACUGUAGGUUAAGUGGGGAUUUUAUCAAGGUUUAUUUUGAAACCUAUGAAACACCGGCUGUAUUUGCAAAAUAAAUGGAAAAGAAGCGGAGCGCAAAACAAAAACACGUCUGGUCACUACGAAAGAGAACGAACGAAAUGGAUAGUUCUGAUCCUUCAAAAUAUUUAAAGAUUUUAUCAUACCAUUCCAAGGAUAGUUUUGUAAUUAUGUUGUAUUGUAACUUAUGAAAUUUUAAAUUUAUUUUUUUUUUUUGGAAAGCUUCGACGACAAUUUUGAUAACUUUGAAAUUAAAGGAUCAGAUGUAAAUAGAAGAGCAUGAAUUCUAUCGUAUUUUUUGUGAAAACUUUCGGCUGUGAGAAUUUUAGUUUUACGUUUCUCAAUAAAUAGCUUGGAAAAAUAUUUGCGUUUUAAAGUUUAGUUUUCGUUUUCACUAGCUUGUAUGCAUUUUUCGUGAAGCGCCCAUCUACAUUAAUCGCCAAAGCUUCCUCAGAACUGAAUUUAAUAGGUAGCUUGGGAUCACUGUCGAAAGCUGGAAAGUAAAUAUAAAAUGGAAGAAGAAGAAGCAGCAAAUUCGAGUGUAAAUAAGAGAACAGCAGGCGGCAGGCUGAAAUGUAGUGCCACUUUAGAGAACCUGCUAAUAGACAUUUGGAGCGGGGGCUGAGUGGCAGCACCACGAAAAGCUGAACUGGUUUCUGGGAUGCUACCGGAUUAACAACAUGGAACAGAGCACAUUGGACAACCACAGUGGAUCUGGACGGAUCAUGUAGCAACAAUGGGCUUUUCUGGCAACAAUGGGCCCCCGCCAAAGCGAACCAAAGAAUACGACACUUCUUGGAUGGCAGAGAUCGCCAGAGAGCGACUUGAAGAGAAAGAAAGACCAUCAUAGGAAAAAGGAAGAGCAUGAUAUGAGGCAGGAAAAGAUGGUCGAGGAACUCAUCAACACGCAAAAGAAAUUCCAGAAUGAUUUAUUGGAAGUGCUGAAAUAUAAAAAUAAAUAAGUUUCUUAUUUGCAUUUCUACACAAUAUUUUGCGAUUGCAGAUCGUAUCUGUUCGGCUGACUGAUUAAAGUCAUAUGUUCACAUAUUUUGCUGUUGAACCACAGCCGAAAUAAUUGCUAAAUCUUCAUCAUCCUUAUAAUGGAUACAAUGGAUAUAAUGAAACAAAAAUUGUAAAUCUUCCGCGCAAAUUUGAUGUACUUGUUAAGGGCAUCAGCUGUUUUUGACGGAUGGUAGAUGGUAGAUGGCACCAGUGUGAAUCGGAGUUUCACAUCUGCUAAAAAAUCACACCAUUCCCACCAGUGUGCAGAGCCUAUUAGCUUUGUUCAAUUUGGGUUUUAAUAAACAAUCUGCCAACCACUGCUUGUUAUACUUUUCGAAAUGUGACAAUGUUCCAUUACAUUUUUUCCAUUUUUGCAGCAACGUGCUUA